rnacentral:rRNA from 1 species
UACAGAGGGUGCAAGCGUUGUUCGGAAUUACUGGGCGUAAAGCGCGUGUAGGCGGCGGCGUAAGUCGAAUGUGAAAGCCCUUGGCUUAACCAAGGAAGUGCAUUCGAUACUAUGUCGCUUGAGUACCGGAGGGGAUGGCGGAAUUCCUGGUGUAGAGGUGAAAUUCGUAGAUAUCAGGAGGAACACCUGUGGCGAAGGCGGCCAUCUGGACGGUGACUGACGCUGAGACGCGAAAGCGUGGGUAGCAAACAGG